rnacentral:rRNA from 1 species
GAUCCCUUAUAAUAAUAAAAGAAACAUAAAAAUUUCGCUUUAAGAAGUUAGAUAUCCCGGGUAAGUAUUAGUUAGAUAAUUUAUAUUUAGCUAGCUUCAAACCCGUAGUUGAAACUGAAAGGUUGAUCAACCACAAUGGGCCUGAAUAAAGCUCAUGAUGAUUAUUACAGCAGUGGGGAAUCUUGGUCAAUAGCCUAACGGCUGAACCAGCAACUUGAUGGAAUGUAUAGCGAAAGCUAAUUGUAUUAAAUAUAUACAAUACCGAUUUAUUCGGCUAAAAUUCUGGGUAGAGUUUUGAUGAUGACAUUACCUACCUAUAUGUCUUGACCAAAUUCUGUGCCAGCAGUCGCGGCAAUACAAAGAAGACUUGUGUUAUUCAUGUUUAGUCGGUUUAAAGGGUAACUAGACGGUAAAUCAAGCCAUAUUGGGACUAAUUUACUUGAGUUUAAUAUAAGGGAGCAUUAAAGUACUGAUGGUGUAGAGAUGAAAUUCGUUGAUACCAUAUAUGGCACAGGUUUAGGCGAAAGCAUCUCCUUAUGUAAAAACUGACGUUCAGGGACGAAGGCUAUGUGCAGCGAAUAGGAUUAGAUACCCUAGUAGUUUUAGCAGAAAAUGAUGAAUGUCAUAGGGUAGUAAAUAAUUAUAGAUAUGAAGUAGUGGUAUUCUUCAAUACCUUUGAAGCAGUAGUAUGCUUCAAUCCCAUUGAAAUAGUGGUAUGCUUCAAUGGGAAUGUUUCAAUCCCAAUCUAUAUUGUUAUUCUAUAAAUGAAAGUGUAAGCAUUCCACCUCAUGAGUAAUUUGGCAACAUUGGAAUUGAAAUCAUUAGACCGUUUCUGAUACAAGCAGUGAAGUAUGUUAUUUAAUUUGAUAAUCCGCAAAAAACCUUACCACAUUUUGAAUAUACCUUUAAAGUAUUACAAGUGCUGCAUGGUUGUCUUCAGUUAAUGUCGUGAGACUUUGGUUAACUCCACCUAAUUAACGUAAACCCUAAUUUUAUUUAUUAAUAAAUUAGAUCCCCUUUAUAUUGGAUAUGAUACAU